AAUAGCUCGAGCGGUACAGAAGACUGCAUACUUGAAGGUGUGAAUAUGACAUCUGGAUUGCCACCUACUGAGGGUGGUCAUGACUGUGCAGAAGUAGCUAGGAAGGAGACGAAGGUGACGAACGCAGAGACAGCCGCCAGCCAAGGGAAGCAGGUUCCAGUCAUACCGCCAGGAAGCCGGGUGUGGAUUAAGGCCCAUAAACGCAAGUGGAGUGAUCCAAGGUGGACCGUUCCUUGGGAGGUAGUAUUGGCAACGUCACACUCGGUAAAGGUGAAAGGUAAAGCGGGAGCCACUUGGCAUCAUC
ensembl:lncRNA